rnacentral:rRNA from 1 species
UACGAAGGGGGCGAGCGUUGUUCGGAUUUACUGGGCGUAAAGGGCGCGUAGGCGGCGCUUCAAGUCGCGUGUGAAAGCCCCCGGCUCAACUGGGGAGGGUCACGCGAUACUGAUCGACUCGAAGGCAGGAGAGGGAAGUGGAAUUCCCGGUGUAGUGGUGAAAUGCGUAGAUAUCGGGAGGAACACCAGUGGCGAAGGCGACUUCCUGGCCUGUUCUUGACGCUGAGGCGCGAAAGCUAGGGGAGCAAACGGG